rnacentral:rRNA from 1 species
UGUCCUGCCAGUAGUCAUAUGCUUGUCUCAAAGACUAAGCCAUGCAUGUCUAAGUAUAAGUAUUAUACAGCGAAACUGCGAAUGGCUCAUUAAAACAGUUAUAGUUUAUUUGACAAUCGAAUUUACAUGGAUAACCGUGGUAAUUCUAGAGCUAAUACAUGCUGGUGUGCCUGACUUUUUGGAAGGGCGGUAUUUAUUAGAUAACAAGCCAAUAUUCCUCGUGUCUAUUGUGGUGACUCAUAAUAACUGAUCGAAUCGCAAGGCCUUUGGUCGCGAUAAGUCAUUCAAGUUUCUGCCCCAUCAGCUUUCGAUGGUAGUGUAUUGGACUACCAUGGCGUUUACGGGUAACGGAGGAUUAGGGUUCGAUUCCGGAGAGGGAGCCUGAGAAACGGCUACCACAUCUAAGGAAGGCAGCAGGCGCGUAAAUUACCCAAUCCUGACUCAGGGAGGUAGUGACAAGAAAUAACGGACCGGGGCCUUACGGCUUCGGGAUUGCAAUGAGCCGAAUUUACACCCCUUAGCGAAGAUCGAU